rnacentral:rRNA from 1 species
UACGGAGGGUGCAAGCGUUAUCCGGAUUCACUGGGUUUAAAGGGUGCGUAGGUGGGUCUGUAAGUCCGUGGUGAAAUCUCCGAGCUUAACUUGGAAACUGCCAUGGAUACUAUAGGUCUUGAAUACUGUGGAGGUCAGCGGAAUAUGUCAUGUAGCGGUGAAAUGCUUAGAUAUGACAUAGAACACCAAUUGCGGAGGCAGCUGGCUACACAAAUAUUGACACUGAGGCACGAAAGCGUGGGGAUCAAACAGG